rnacentral:rRNA from 1 species
AGAGUUUGAUCCUGGCUCAGGAUGAACGCUAGCUACAGGCUUAACACAUGCAAGUCGCGGGGUAACAUCUGGUAGAGCUUGCUCUUCCAGGAUGACGACCGGCGCACGGGUGAGUAACGCGUAUCCAACCUGGCCCAUACCACGGGAUAGCCCGUCGAAAGGCGGAUUAAUACCGUAUGCUGUCAUUAAGAUGCAUAUAUUGAUGACGAAAGGACUGGCGGUAUGGGAUGGGGAUGCGUCUGAUUAGCUUGUUGGCGGGGUAACGGCCCACCAAGGCGACGAUCAGUAGGGGUUCUGAGAGGAAGGUCCCCCACAUUGGAACUGAGACACGGUCCAAACUCCUACGGGAGGCAGCAGUGAGGAAUAUUGGUCAAUGGGCGAGAGCCUGAACCAGCCAAGUAGCGUGCAGGAUGACGGCCCUAUGGGUUGUAAACUGCUUUUAUAAGGGAAUAAAGUGAGUCUCGUGAGACUUUUUGCAUGUACCUUAUGAAUAAGGACCGGCUAAUUCCGUGCCAGCAGCCGCGGUAAUACGGAAGGUCCGGGCGUUAUCCGGAUUUAUUGGGUUUAAAGGGAGCGCAGGCCGUGGGUUAAGCGUGUCGUGAAAUUCCGUCGCUCAACGGCGGACGUGCGGCGCGAACUGGUCCACUUGAGUACGCGGGACGUUGGCGGAAUUCGUGGUGUAGCGGUGAAAUGCUUAGAUAUCACGAAGAACUCCGAUUGCGAAGGCAGCUGACGGUAGCGCAACUGACGCUGAGGCUCGAAAGUGCGGGUAUCGAACAGGAUUAGAUACCCUGGUAGUCCGCACGGUAAACGAUGGAUGCCCGCUAUUCGCCCACCUGGGCGAGUGGCCAAGCGAAAGCGUUAAGCAUCCCACCUGGGGAGUACGCCGGCAACGGUGAAACUCAAAGGAAUUGACGGGGGCCCGCACAAGCGGAGGAACAUGU